CAGUAGCCACGGGAAUACGGAGGGGGCUAGCGUUGUUCGGAAUUACUGGGCGUAAAGCGCACGUAGGCUGCUUUGUAAGUCAGAGGUGAAAGCCCGGGGCUCAACCCCGGAUGUGCCUUUGAGACUGCAGGGCUAGAACGUCGGAGAAGUGAGUGGAAUUCCGAGUGUAGAGGUGAAAUUCGUAGAUAUUCGGAAGAACACCAGUGGCGAAGGCGGCUCACUGGACGACUGUUGACGCUGAGGUGCGAAAGCGUGGGGAGCAAACAGGAUUAGAUACCCCCGUAGUCCCUGUCUCUUAUAC
rnacentral:rRNA from 1 species